AGAGUAUUCCAGGUUGCAUAGC
rnacentral:miRNA from 1 species